AGGACGAACGCUGGCGGCGUGCUUAACACAUGCAAGUCGAGCGGAAAGGCCCUUCGGGGUACUCGAGCGGCGAACGGGUGAGUAACACGUGAGCAACCUGCCCCUGGCUCUGGGAUAGCCUCCGGAAACGGGGAUUAAUACCGGACAUGACUCCUGACCGCAUGGUUGGGGGUGGAAAGUUUUUCGGCCAGGGUGGGGCUCGCGGCCUAUCAGCUUGUUGGGGGGGUGACGGCCCACCAAGGCGACGACGGGUAGCCGGCCUGAGAGGGCGACCGGCCAACGACUGGGACUGAGACACGGCCCAGACUCCUACGGGAGGCAGCAGUGGGGAAUAUUGCGCAAUGGGCGGAAGCCUGACGCAGCGACGCCGCGUGCGGGAUGAAGGCCUUCGGGUUGUAAACCGCUUUCACCAGGGGCGAAGCGAGAGUGACGGUACCUGGGGAAGAAGCGCCGGCUAACUACGUGUCAGCAGCCGC
rnacentral:rRNA from 1 species